rnacentral:lncRNA from 1 species
GCUGAUCUGAGGUCACAACAAAAAGAAAGAGCUGUGGAAACUCACCUGCCUGCUUUGGAAAACUGAAGAAGCAAGGACUAAAGUGACAACUUUGUGCUCUUGGCCUUCUAUAUAGGCACUUUCGCACAGUGACUAGACUUCAGAAACACCUGGAACCAAUACUGAGGCCAAUUUCCUGACUCAGAUUCAGAGAAUGUCCUGGGACCUUCAAAGAUACAUCUCUGGCCUCUUCCCCUCCGAUUUUUACUCUGUGGCAAAUACUAGAGGACUCUGCCAGACAUUUCCAACAAGCUGAUUUUUUUUACUUCCAAAGACCUUCUUACUGACUUUGAAGUCUCAAAGCCUCAGUAUAAGUAUUAACAUAGUUAGCCUUCAGGUACUGCCUGGUGCCACCAAACACACCUGUAUAAGCCCAAAUGUGGGAAUAUUGACUUAUUAUCAUUUGAUAGUCACAUUGAAAGGUCUAGACACUUAGAUUCACUCACUGGUCAGUGUCUGUCUUUUGCUUCUUUAUACCUGAACCCACCCAGCACGUGGCUAAAUCCAGAGUCCAUCUUCAAUAAAGGAAUAAAGAUUGAUGUUUAUU